rnacentral:rRNA from 1 species
GAUGAACGCUGGCGGCGUGCCUAAUACAUGCAAGUCGAGCGAACAGACGAGGAGCUUGCUCCUCUGACGUUAGCGGCGGACGGGUGAGUAACACGUGGAUAACCUACCUAUAAGACUGGGAUAACUUCGGGAAACCGGAGCUAAUACCGGAUAAUAUAUUGAACCGCAUGGUUCAAUAGUGAAAGACGGUUUUGCUGUCACUUAUAGAUGGAUCCGCGCCGCAUUAGCUAGUUGGUAAGGUAACGGCUUACCAAGGCGACGAUGCGUAGCCGACCUGAGAGGGUGAUCGGCCACACUGGAACUGAGACACGGUCCAGACUCCUACGGGAGGCAGCAGUAGGGAAUCUUCCGCAAUGGGCGAAAGCCUGACGGAGCAACGCCGCGUGAGUGACGAAGGUCUUCGGAUCGUAAAACUCUGUUAUUAGGGAAGAACAAAUGUGUAAGUAACCAUGCACGUCUUGACGGUACCUAAUCAGAAAGCCACGGCUAACUACGUG